rnacentral:misc_RNA from 1 species
UUUCCGUAGGUGAACCUGCGGAAGGAUCAUUACAACGAAACGGCGCCCUCACCGGCGCCGGUUCUCAAACCACUGCGUAUGAAGCUCUCGAGGUUGCCUCCCGGCUGGCGUGCGGCUCCCGCGCGCCCGCCGGGGGGGUCAACAGCCCGAGACUCGUUUCCUUCGCGGGGUACCCCCCCGCGGCAGGACGCUACCAAACAUUUUGUCAAGAUGUCAUCGUCUGAACCUAUUGAAAAAAUAGAAAAUACAACUUUUAACAAUGGAUCUCUUGGCUCCGGCAUCGAUGAAGAACGCAGC